CAAUAGCGUAUAUUAAAGUUGUUGCAGUUAAAAAGCUCGUAGUUGGAUUUCUGGAUGGAGCGACCGGUCGGGCAUUAAUUUGUCUGCACUGGAGUCGGUUCCGUCCAUCCUCUUGGAAAGUGCGUCGGGCAUUAAGUUGCUUGGCGUAUGAUCCAAGUCGUUUACUGUGAAAAAAUUAGAGUGUUUAAAGCAGGCCUUCGCCUUGAAUACAUUAGCAUGGAAUAAUAAGAUAGGACUUUGGUCUAUUUUGUUGGUUUGCGGACCGAAGUAAUGAUUAAUAGGGAUAGUUGGGGGUAUUUAUAUUCCGAUGUCAGAGGUGAAAUUCUUAGAUUUUCGGAAGAUAAACUUAUGCGAAAGCAUUUACCAAGGAUGUUUNCAUUAA
rnacentral:rRNA from 1 species